UCAAAUUUGAAAUCUGGCACCUUCGGUGUCCGAGUUGUAAUUUGAAGAAGGUAACUUUGGAGUCAGCUCUUGUCUAUGUUCCUUGGAACAGGACGUCACAGAGGGUGAGAAUCCCGUGCGAUGAGAUGUCUGAUUCUAUGUAAAGUGCUUUCGAAGAGUCGAGUUGUUUGGGAAUGCAGCUCUAAGUGGGUGGUAAAUUCCAUCUAAAGCUAAAUAUUGGCGAGAGACCGAUAGCGAACAAGUACAGUGAUGGAAAGAUGAAAAGAACUUUGAAAAGAGAGUGAAAAAGUACGUGAAAUUGUUGAAAGGGAAGGGUUUGAGAUCAGACUUGGUAUUUUGUAUGUCUUGCUUUCGGGUGGGGCCUCUACAGUUUACUGGGCCAGCAUCGGUUUGGACGGUAGGAUAAUGACAUUGGAAUGUGGCACCACUUCGGUGGUGUGUUAUAGACUUUGUUGAUACUGCCUGUCUAGACCGAGGACUGCGUCUUUGACUAGGAUGCUGGCAUAAUGAUCUUAAACCGCC
rnacentral:rRNA from 1 species